rnacentral:rRNA from 1 species
GAUGAACGCUGGCGGCGUGCCUAAUACAUGCAAGUCGAGCGAACGGACGAGAAGCUUGCUUCUCUGAUGUUAGCGGCGGACGGGUGAGUAACACGUGGAUAACCUACCUAUAAGACUGGGAUAACUUCGGGAAACCGGAGCUAAUACCGGAUAAUAUUUUGAACCGCAUUGUUCAAAAGUUAAAGACGGUCUUGCUGUCACUUAUAGAUGGAUCCGCGCUGCAUUAGCUAGUUGGUAAGGUAACGGCUUACCAAGGCAACGAUGCAUAGCCGACCUGAGAGCGUGAUCGGACACACUGGAACUGAGACACGGUCCAGACUCCUACGGGAGGCAGCAGUAGGGACUCUUCCGCAAUGGGCGAAAGCCUGACGGAGCAAAGCCGCGUGAGUGAUGAAGGUCUUCGGAUCGUAAAACUCUGUUAUUAGGGAAGAACAUAUGUGUAAGUAACUGUGCACAUCUUGACGGUACCUAAUCAGAAAGCCACGGCUAACUACGUG